UACGUAGGGUGCGAGCGUUAAUCGGAAUUACUGGGCGUAAAGCGUGCGCAGGCGGUUCGCUGUGUCCGAUGUGAAAGCCCCGGGCUUAACCUGGGAAUGGCAUUGGAAACUGGCGGGCUUGAGUGUGGCAGAGGGGGGUGGAAUUCCGCGUGUAGCAGUGAAAUGCGUAGAGAUGUGGAGGAACACCGAUGGCGAAGGCAGCCCCCUGGGUCAAGAUUGACGCUCAUGCACGAAAGCGUGGGGAGCAAACAGG
rnacentral:rRNA from 1 species